CCUACGGGAGGCAGCAGUGGGGAAUAUUGGGCAAUGAAGGAAACUCUGACCCAGCAACGCCGCGUGAAUGAUGAAGGUCUUCGGAUUGUAAAGUUCUUUUCUAAGGGAAGAAGAAAGUGACGGUACCUUAGGAAUAAGCCUCGGCUAACUACGUGCCAGCAGCCGCGGUAAUAAGUAGGAGGCAAGCGUUAUCCGGAAUGACUGGGCGUAAAGGGGGCGUAGGUGGUUUGACAAGUUGGUAGCGUAACUCCGGGGCUCAACCUCGGCACUACUACCAAAACUGUCGGACUUGAGUGCAGGAGGGGCAAAUGGAAUUCCUAGUGUAGCGGUGGAAUGCGUAGAUAUUAGGAGGAACACCAGUGGCGAAGGCGAUUUGCUGGACUGUAACUGACACUGCGGCACGAAAGCGUGGGGAGCAAACAGGAUUAGAUACCCUUGUAGUC
rnacentral:rRNA from 1 species